UGCCUAUGGUAGGGUGGUGGCUAGGGGCCAUUUAAGAUACUUUAAAGUUGGUAUUCAACCCCUCCCCACUGCUAAAUUUGACUGGCUUUUA
rnacentral:sRNA from 1 species